rnacentral:lncRNA from 1 species
GGUCUGGUGAGAUGGUUCAGUGGCUGAGAACACUGCUGCUCUUCCAGAGGUCAUGAGUUCAAUUCCCAGCAACCACAUGGUGGCUCACAACCAUGUGAUCUGAUGCCCUCUUCAGGCAGGCGGAUGUAUAUGCAGCAGAGCACUCAUACAUUAAAUAAAUAAAAUUUAAAAAAAUAAAUAAAAUAAAAACUGGGGAGGUUGAGGCUGUUAGAACACCUGGGGAGCACACUCAGGACCACAGGUUCAGUCCCAAGCAUCACAAGAAGAGAAAGGAUGUCGUGGAUGGCCUGGGCUGAAAACUCAUCCCAGAAUAUGGCAGACAUAAAGGAGCAGCCGGUGUGUAUCUGUGUGUGUGUAUGGUGCGUAUGUGUGCAUGUGUGUGCACAUGUAUAUGUAUAUCUCUUAAGUGACACAACUCUGGGAGCCCUCUGCCUCAUCCUGCCGUCUUAAUUACGAUUCAGAGUGUCGUGGGAGGUUUCAUUGCAGUGUUUGUUAGAACUGAGAGACAAAGUCUGGACAGGAUACAACUGUAAUCUGACAUCUGGGCAGCUGGCUCAGGAGGAUUAAGAGUUUGAGUUAAACAGAGUUCCUGGCCUGUCAGAGCUAAAUAGAAAGAUUCUGUCUUGAUGUUUGGCCAAGGUGAUUGAUUUGCUGUGCAGUCCGUCAAACAGAAUUACGGCAGCUUAGUUUGAUAGUUUUAAUUGGCUUUACUUUUAACUCGUAACAAUAAAAGGGCUGGCAAGGGGGCUCAGCACGUGUAAGCACUUGGGGCUCAAGCCUGGACACCAGAGUGAGACCCCUGGGAUCCAAGUGAAGGUGGACACGGAGAACUAGUGACAGUCUUUGUUCUGAGCACCACACAAGCACACAUGCAUGUGCACAGCUUACGCACAGUAAUCAUAGUAUAACAUUUUUUUGAAGAUUAGGGAAUACUUCGUUCUAUAAAAUAGAAUAUCAAGUGGAGAACACAUGAAGAGUGGUUUUUGGUUUUUUUUUUUUUAAUUGUUUUCAGAAUUUGAGUUUUUGUUGUUGUUGUUUGGUUUUUUUCUGCACAAGUGUUUUGCCUACAUGUAUGUAUAUGCACCGUGUGCAUGCAUGGUGCCCACUGAGGUCAGAAGAAGCCAUCAGAGUCCCUGGAACUGGAGUUAGAAAUGGCUGUGAACGACCAUGUGGGUUCUAGGAACUGAACCUGGGUCCCAUGCAAGAAUAAGUGCUUGUCCUUCGCCACUGGGCCAUCUUUCCAGCCCUGGAAGGGAGAUCGUAACAGAAAAGACCUAGAGAGAGCAGAUGCAGGCUGGAAACUGGUCCUUUCAGUUGGCUCUCUAACCCCAAUGUGUUCUUACGGGCUUGAUCUAGUUUAUUUCAACUGGCUCUCAGCGGCCUCCAAGCAGGGAGCUCCAGGAGUCAGGAGGUAAAUGGAGCUUGCUGAGAACUUAGAGCUGUGUCAGGGACAGGUUCACAUGAGUACAAGACCCUGAGAGUCCCUUCCUGGUUACAUCACAGAGUCUGGGCACCUCCUGCUUACUACCACACUGGGCUGGAUGGAGCUGUGCCUUGGGGCAGUGGCUGACCACUCCCUGUGCUGCAGUUGCUGACCUCGUAAGAGUGGUCAGGAGUCUGAAAGUGACAGGGUGGCAGGUGGCCCCUGGAACACCUGCUCUGUCCUAAGGUCCUGUUCCAUCCCUUGUGCAGGUUGCUCCUGCACACCAACAAGGUCCUUUUGAGGUUUAUUUUUACGUUGGGGAAUCUGCAAGUGUAUGAACCCGUGUUUCACAUACUUCCUGUUUUCUUGUCUUUACCGCUUCCUCCCUGCAAGUAUCUUAGUCACCCCUUAGGAAUAAACAGUGUUCCUAGCAAUCCUGCCAUGUGUAUUCCUCUUAAUGCUUAGCGCAGUGCUGCUAAUUUAAUAUUACUGGCUAUGGAGAGGGUAUUGUUUUCAACCGUCCUAAAAGAUACUGUUCGAGACCAGUGUGCAACAAAGUAGGCAGCAAUCUCUGCCUUCAAAGACUCAGACAGACAGACAGACAGACAGACAGACAGUAUGUUAGAGAGCAGUGAGUGCCUAUGGGAGAAUUAGGCAGAGCACAGAAAGUAUAGCAUGCCUUGCUGGGGUGGUUAUAAGGAUGGAACGGUACAAUGAGAUGCUCAGAGAAGACCUCACUGUGGCAUUCUACCAAAUAUUUGAAGUGCUAAAGAGCCUUAUGGAAAGAUCACUCCAUGCAGGGAACUUCAUAUCAUAAUAUGAAGGCUCUAAAACUGGCCCUCUUGGAACAUUCCAGAAAGGGGUAGUUUACUUCCAGGGCAGAAAGGUGAAGGUCAGGAAACAAGAUGAAUCAGAAAAAAAAAUGGGCCAGAGAGGAUGACCGUACACUGAAUGUUCUGGUUGGUCUUUGCCCUGGGAUUAGCCAUCACAGGGUUUCCAGCAUAAGAUUGACUCUGGAUAGCAUCACUAUCUGACUCAGGACUGAAUCCUCUGGAUGCUGCAAUAGCAUCCAGAGUCAAAGCCGCAUUGAUGCUGGUCAGAAGGUGACUAAUUAUAAUGGAGCCUUGACCUGGGGAAGCAGCAGAGGUGAAGAGAUGUGGGCAGAAACUUGAUUUACUUUCAAGGUGGACCUACAGAAUUUGCUGAUUCGGGGAAGGAAGCUAAAGACGAUAGCAGGAUUUUAGAUCUGAGAAACAGAAAAGUUGCAGUCUGGAAUGGGGAAGGGGCCGGUCAUGGUGGAGCACGCCUUUGAUCCCAGCACUUGGGAGGCAGAGGCAGAUGGCUCUCUGAGUUUGAGGCCAACCAAGACUGCAUAGUGAGACCUUGUCUU